rnacentral:misc_RNA from 1 species
GUUUCAAACGUCAAUCACCAGUCUUUGUUCCCCUAACUACACUAUUUGAAGAAACAGCAUGUACACUAUGGGAUGAUGAACAUUUACUUGAGGAACUUCCCUCCGUGAAGCUGUUAUCCUUCCUUGGCAACUUUCUGGAUUUCUUUUGUCCAGAUGAAAGGUCCUGCUCGGAUGUAGAUCCAGGUGUCUUAAGCUCUAAAUCUGUUGCCACUUCAUUGGAAUCUUCACUUUUCUCAAUUCUG